CCUCUCAAGAGCUCUGAGUUUGUCUCAUAUCUACUUGCAGGCCUCAAUUCUGAAUAUGAUCCCCUCGUGACCUCCAUCACCACCAGAGUUGAUCCACUCUCCAUUGAAGAAUUAUAUGGCUAUUUGCUCACCUAUGAGC